ensembl:lncRNA
CUUGAGGCAGAGCUGUCUCAGAGCCCUGCCAUGGCAGCUGGCUGGCUGCCGACGGAGGGGCAGCAGGUUAACAGCGAUGAGACAGCCCUUCAUCCCUCCCUCCUUGUGGCUUUCCCUGCAUGUUUGUCUUUGUAUAUAUUGGCAAUCUCCUGGAGCAGUGACUCUCCUGACUGGUUCUCAGUGCAUAUAUUUUUAAGAGAAGACAGAAGGAGGAGCUAUUUGCGGUGGCUUCCUGAAAUUAUUGCUGUUCAGCUGCAGAGCAGAGAUAACAUGGAUUCCCUCGAUCUCAGCCAUUCAUCUGCAUGUGUUCUGCAAAGAAGUCAAGGGAGAAGCUGUUCACUUCAAG